rnacentral:rRNA from 1 species
UACGAAGGGGGCUAGCGUUGUUCGGAGUUACUGGGCGUAAAGGGCGCGUAGGCGGCUUGACAAGUCAGGCGUGAAAGCCCCGGGCUUAACCCGGGAAUUGCGCUUGAUACUGUCUGGCUGGAGUCCGGGAGAGGAUGGCGGAAUUCCCAGUGUAGAGGUGAAAUUCGUAGAUAUUGGGAAGAACACCGGUGGCGAAGGCGGCCAUCUGGACCGGUACUGACGCUGAGGCGCGAAAGCGUGGGGAGCAAACAGGAUUAGAUACCCUGGUAGU